AGAGUUUGAUCAUGGCUCAGAUUGAACGCUGGCGGCAGGCCUAACACAUGCAAGUCGAGCGGAUGAAGGGAGCUUGCUCCUGGAUUCAGCGGCGGACGGGUGAGUAAUGCCUAGGAAUCUGCCUGGUAGUGGGGGAUAACGUCCGGAAACGGGCGCUAAUACCGCAUACGUCCUGAGGGAGAAAGUGGGGGAUCUUCGGACCUCACGCUAUCAGAUGAGCCUAGGUCGGAUUAGCUAGUUGGUGGGGUAAAGGCCUACCAAGGCGACGAUCCGUAACUGGUCUGAGAGGAUGAUCAGUCACACUGGAACUGAGACACGGUCCAGACUCCUACGGGAGGCAGCAGUGGGGAAUAUUGGACAAUGGGCGAAAGCCUGAUCCAGCCAUGCCGCGUGUGUGAAGAAGGUCUUCGGAUUGUAAAGCACUUUAAGUUGGGAGGAAGGGCAGUAAGUUAAUACCUUGCUGUUUUGACGUUACCAACAGAAUAAGCACCGGCUAACUUCGUGCCAGCCGCCGCGGUAAUUC
rnacentral:rRNA from 1 species